CCAUUCUGUGAUUCUAUACGUGAACUGGAGAGUUUUGAUAAACAACGGAUGCCUGCCUCUGACUUGGCAGAGUGAUGAUCUCUGGGAUUGUAUUGAGCAGACAGGGUGACCUUGUUUAAAAUGUGGAUGAGAUAAUCUGAAUAUUCAUGAAUAAUGUGGAGUUGGCUGUUGUGUUGACAAGAAAAACAAACAAAAACAUAGCUUUGUCUGUGUGUGUGUGCGAAGAAAGAUUACAGAAAUAAUUCCUUCGGUCCAAUAAAAAAAACUAGGGAGUGUGAUUUAAGAAACAGUAGAAAAGACCCACUAGACAUUCAACAUGAUAGUAGGUACAGUAAACGUUUUAUACUGGGAGUAGCAAUUGUCCAUAAAUAGAUGUAAAUACUUAAAAAUAAAUAAAUAAAAUAAAAAUAAAACAAAACAAAAACAAAACAAAACUAAAACUCUUUUCAAGUAUUUGCACUUGCUGAUGUAAAUCUAACUCUAAAGGAAAAGAGUUUUCAGUAAUUAGUUCCAGAUGUAAUUUUUACAAGUACAAUGAAAAGGUAAUUAUGUUGUAAAUAAUGGGAAUGCUUUUCUUCAUCAAAGUGAGAGUUCCUUUAUUCCUCAACUGAUCAGUUAGCUGGGAUAAGAAAUCCACACUGGGAAGAGCAAUUCUAAACCCCUGUUACUGAUUCUCUAAAUUACUCUUUCCAGGACAAUCAGUAUUUGCUCCAGGCAGAUCCUCUUUCUGAUGAAUGGAAACUGUACACUGAAUACAUAGACCACAUGAUUGUAGAUGGGCUGUUCAAAGUUAUCAAGUGUUCUCUUCAGUAUCUGGCUGAAAGCAGUGAGACAACAUUUAAAUCCACUUCUUUAUUUGAAGUGCAGCUUGUUCUUAAUGGCAGUGAAAUGACUUUUAAACCUUUGGACUCGAUGUCAGUAGCAAUUUCUGUGAUAUUACAGAGGGACUAAUCAAAGACAUCCAUGAUAUUCCAUCUGUAAACAGAUCUGUCAAGUAGUUUGGACCUUUUUCAGGUAUUGUUACUUUUGCUACUUUUUUUUUGUUGUUUGUUUUUAAGUUGACCUUCCCUCUAAGCAUUUGAAUGUAAUUGUUUUCCCACCCGAGUCACCCCUAUCCAGUGUUUUAUGCCACGAAGGCUAACAUCUCAAGAGAAGCGAUGAGGCUUUUCCCAUCUAUUCACUGUGAGCUGUCAUUUUCUGCUGUCCUUAACUUCUGUCUCUCUUCUUGUGUUAUGAAUGUGUCUAGUAAUUUCUUUCAGCAACCAGCACAUAUUCUUUAAAUGAUACUGGCUAUAUUGGCUAACUUUUUUUUUUUUUUAAACUUUUUGAUUCACUUGCCCAAUUGAGUUCACCUUGGCAGUACACACAGAAGUCUGCGGCUGGAUGAUCUGCAAGGCUUGUUCAUGGAUUUACCGUCCAUUUUUGCUUGUGUGUUUUCCACAGGCACUGUGUGGCUUUACACUGUAUGUGUUACUGAGGAUUUGGCAUCAACUGUCUUCUUCUACAGCUAUAUUCCAGACUGUAUCUUUCUCAAGAACUGUUUGUUUCCUUAUGAUUGUUAGUUGAAUGUUUGGUCUCUUGGUGUCUUGUCAUCAGGAUACCUGGUGCUGUUUCUGCUUCCACAUCUGCAAGUACCACUGAGCUUAUAUUAGGAGACUAUUAGAGGGCUGUGUCCAUAGACAGGAGACAGAAGUGGUUUGUGAAUGAAAUAAACACUUUUUUUUUUAGAGAUGUAAUGUUAAUGCAAGUUUUUUUUGCAAGACUGUUUUUGCCAGACUAGUUGGACGUGAAAAAAACUUUAUCCAUUUUUUCAAACUCUUUUUAUGAGAUAGAAACAAACUUAAAUAAAUAAAUGUAUCAAAAUAUCACAGUUAAACAGACUCUAGGGAAAACCAGAUUAAUUAUAAAUUGGUUAUAAUGCAUAACAGUGAAAAGAAACAAAGGGUAAAAUAACAGUUGAGAAUGGGUUGAGAGGACAGAGUGGAGUAUAAAAAGGAGUAGUUGGAGAAAGGAGUCCAGGAAAUAGUAAAGGAAAAGACGGAAGAGGGCUGGAGCAAACAAAAUGGUCCAGAACCUCUGUUCCUGAAAUUCUUCUGGCUUUUGCCAGCUUGAUUUUUCUCUGAAAUUCAUGGCUACUUAUUCUACAGUACUCGGCAGCACGGAUAUGAAGGUUUGGGGAUAUCAGAAAGCAGCAUUACCUGUUGAGUGGACAGGAGGAUUUACCCUGUUCUUUAUGAGCCUGUCACUCGCUCCUGGACUGGCUUUUUUUUUGUACCUAGGACCAAAGAGCAAAUGGAGGAAAUGAAUGUCCUAAACUGUGUUCUCAGACAUAGAGAGCCAAGUUUGCAUAAUCUGUACUCUAUAACUUCUGAAUUUCCUUUUUCUUCUUCCUCCACCAAGUGCUGCAGUCUGUGGAAAUGGAGAUUAUGGUAUUUGGAAUGGCUUGUAUUUGUAAAGCGUGCUUUCUCUGUACCUUUAGAAACAGGAACAGCCCACAGUUUUACUCUGGUCUUUACUGAGUCCAUUACCUUUGCCUGCAAAGCAAUUUCUUCAACCCCAGAUUUAGAAAAGGUGGGGUUUCUGAGUCCCAUUGAAUUCUCUACUAGCCAUAACAGCCCAGUCAGUAGAAGUACUUUCAUCAUCUCUCUGUGGCAUUAAAAAUCUGUUAAUGAGAUAAAGGAAACUUGGUGAAGAUGCCUCGAAUCAAGAUUCCAAUUUUUUGAGGUCUACUAGAAAGUUACACUGACAGCCCUCAGAAUCUGAAUCACAACCCGUCUCACUAGCAAGCGUUGUAAUUUAAAUCAACAUGUUGGAGAAUGUGAGUAAUAGCAAGUGCACUGUUUUGUGUCUAGCUGAUGACAGUAAGUACUUUGAAUUUUUGAUGUUAGUAUGAUGUGUGAAAUAGAAAUUAUAAUACUUGAGAAAUAUGAAUCCAAGCAGUCAUUUCCCAUUAACAUGUUCCAAGGAGCAGACAGGGAACUUUCUACUAACUGACAAGUUAUACUUGUGAUUGCCAUCAGUAUAGUACCUUGGGUCGUGGCACGUGGCUUGGCUUUUAGGACAUCUUUCUUUGAUUUAAUUUUUGUCUCCACUGCCUUUUCAAUUUGAGGUGUUAAUUUAGCAUGAUAUAGAUUAGAUGGAUGCCCUGGAAGAAAUAAGUAGCUAUGAAGAAAGGGAACUUGAUCACUGUUUAUGUUCUGGAGUGUCAAAGUGACUUGAACAAAUAGUGCUACUUAUGGAUAGAUUAUAAAACUGGAUGCAUGAAGCAGUUUCUGCUCUAUGGAUGAGCAGAGCAGAAUUCUUAGUAGAGGGGAGCAGGAUUUCUAUGAAAAUAAUGCGCUUCCAAAAUGUUUUCACAAGAUGUGAAGUAUUCUAAAGAACAGAUAGUUCACUUUUUGCAGAGGUUUCUUCUUUCUCUUACCUGUUAAGGAAAUAUGUUUUGGUGAUUUGUUUAAGACCUACUGUUUGUUGGUGUUUGUUUGUUUGUUUGUUUGUUUUUCUUCUUUCUUUAGAGCCAAUAUUAGCCAAAUAUUCUGAAGAAGUUAGUGAAUCUAAAAAUCAGAAGAUUUUUUUUAGUAGUUCUUUCAAACCAAAUUGACCACAAGCCUUUUAAAUACCAUUGGUGAAUUUAAUAUAAAAAUAACAGAGCUGAAUUUUUUUAAGGAAAACAGCUCAGGUAAUUCCCUUAGGCAAGUUUCUCUGGUUUCUGAUUCAUUUGCGUACGUACAUAAACACAUACAUAUAUAUAUCUGUAUAUGUGUUUAUGUAUAUACAUAUUUUUUAUUUUAAUUCAGAAGGGGGGAUUGAAGGAUCUCUUGAAGUCAAUUCAAGCCCUUUUAGCUAUCAGACAAGGGAGAGUCUUUGCAGACAUGGGUCUUUCCUGGUACCUUGGAUGCAUCCUUGGGAUAAAAGGCUUCUUUGGUCUUCAAAUUCAUCUGGAUAAGCAUCAAGCUCAAAAAAAAACCAAAAACUUGAUGUUCUUAAGAUGUUCAAAAUAUCUUAGAAAUAGUGAUUUAUUCUUUGAUUGAUGUGGACUCACUAUUUGUCAUGGGUUUGGCUUACAGUACUAUAUGAAGAACUUUCAAUGUUUCUAUCUCAUUUUUGGUAUAAAUUUAUUUGUAAAAUGCACUUCAAAAUGGCAGUGUUUUGACCAUGCUGGAAAGCUAGAUCAGGAGUGUUUAGAGCAUGAGAGUGUCUAGACAGCAAUUUGGCUGUGUAAGGUAUGCUGAAGAUCUCUCUGGGAGAAAAGCUCUUUGAAAUGGAUGUUAAUCUUGGACUCUUCUAAAAGGUUGACAUGGAUUGCAGUGCUGUACCCAUCACCUCAGAUCUGAACUAUUUCCUGCAGCCAGACAGCACUCCUCUGCCCCAAUUCUGCAACACUGAGAACCUGAACAGGAUUAUUACUUGAAUCAUGUGCAGUAGAAACAGCAAGUGAAGAGAUGGGCAAGUGUAAAUGAGUUCAUGAUAUUUCUCAAGUGCAUCUCAUCAAGCAUGUGAAAUGUAUUUCUCAUCUUGUUUAAAUAGAGGGGAAAAGGAGCCCACCAACUAAGCACCAACACAAUGCUUCUAUGUUUGAUUUGAUUGCAUUUAUUUGUUCAUUAAUAUAAUUGAUGUGUAUGGUUUGCCUUAAGUUUUCAGGUGCUCUGUGCUAAUUAACUUGACAUUUGCUCAUGUUACGUAUUAUUAGUGUUACGAAAUGGAGAGACUCAUGAAUGAAACUAAGAGAGGUUUGAAUAAGAAAGCGUAAAAAGGAAGGUGAACAGCUUUAGGUGAAAUGAUGGGACAUCUAAUGGCCACAGAAGACCAGGACUCCAAAGAUGAUGUGUUCAAAGUCUUGAAACUGACCUUUUCAGAUCUUUUCAGGAUGGUAGGUACCAGAACUUGGAGGCAAGGAUUUUCUGCAGAUCUGGAGGAAUUACCUGAAAAGUGGAAGAAUCUUAAAAAGAUUGACUUCACUGUAACCAUGAAGUGCUACCUCUGCAGUCCAAUGAAGUGUCUGUUAUCAGAAGAAAACGUGUACUUUUGGAGGAGUAUACAGUGAUCCUUCACGGUCAUACAAUGAUCCUUCAUGAUCCUCAAACAUGAUGAGGUACCUCCCCUACCAGCUUUCCCACUAGGACAAAGAUUACUGACAAAAAAGAUGGAAAAGGUGGAGUGAAGACAAUAAAUUUCUGGACAAAGCAUAAACGUUCUCACAGUGUGUAUCAAGGUGGAAAGAUGGAAAACAAAACUUCUCUGUGCAAAUUAAUGGAGAUGUUGCGAAGUUACAGGUUGAACUGCAAAUGGCUUCCAGCUACAUCUUUCUAAAGUGUGCAUAACUGAUUCUAUAGAUAACUGAAGUACGUCAUUUUUCUAAAGACUGUGUCAUACAGUGUCCAUUGAAAAGUAAGGCCUCCUCUCUUUAUUUACCUUCAUGUAAGGAAAGAGAGAACAUCCCCAAAGAGAAAAGGAUAGAGAGUUUCAGAUGUUUAUUAUUGUUUAAUUUAGCUAAAUUUAGAGACCCCUUAGAUAGUUGAUAUAAGAGGGGGAAAAGAGCCUUGGAAAUUUUAUUCCAUUUAAUUUCUUUUUACUUUCUUGUGGUUACUGCAUGCUUUUAAAAAGCCCUCUAUUUUCUCAUUUGAAUAUUAGUGUAUUUUAAAGUACAAUUCUAAAUUAUUUAUGCACAUGUAAGCAAAAAUGAUUGAAAAGCAGACAAAAUAAAGAAAAACAGA